UGUUAUGAUCAUUAGUGAAUAAAAAAUGGGAAAAGAAGGAUGUGUACAUUUUUGAGCGUGUUAUUCGCUGUAAGAAAAUUACUGAUUCUAGGCUAAUUUCCUCCAAACUAAGAAGAAGACACACUCGAUACCAGAAUGCCACGAUGAAGACUAAAAAGAGCAGCGUCAGACUGAGCCCUUCGAGGACCAGCGAGAGCAUCACCAAUCUCAGCCGGGUUUCUCCAUGAAUUUUCCGCCACGGUUCAGAAGGAAAAUUGGAAAAAAUCGUAUGCUUUGGCACGACAUGACCAACACAACAUCGCAGAGCCCUGAUUCAAUGGUGCUUGACGCGAAAAAGUUGAAACAAGUGCACAAGCCUCGCAACCGAAAUGGCAACUUGAUUCCCAGAUUCGGCGCUCGGGUGCAGCAAAGAGAUUUCGAAAUCAACGAGAUUCGAUUCCCGAGCCCAGAUCUCGAGCGCCACCCUCGCGCAGAGCUGCAAACGACGCACCAAUUUGAGAUCGAAAGCGACUUCGACGUCAAUUCGUCGAGUCCAGACUAUGAGCCGACCCCGAAGAGAGGAUACUAUCGCUUCGAUA